UACACGCUGUGACUAGCAUAUCAAUAAGCGGAGGAAAAGAAACUAACAAGGAUUCCCCUAGUAACGGCGAGUGAAGCGGGAAGAGCUCAAAUUUGAAAUCUUAAAGGGUUUCCCUUUACGAAUUGUAGUUUAAAGAAGUGUUUUCUGUUGAGGUUUUGGUAAAAGUUCUUUGGAAUAGGACAUCAUAGAGGGUGAGAAUCCCGUAUUUGACCUUUACUUUCAACUUUGUGAUACACUUUCAAAGAGUCGGAUUGUUUGGGAAUGCAGUCCAAAAUGGGUGGUAAAUUUCAUCUAAAGCUAAAUAUUGGCGAGAGACCGAUAGCGAACAAGUACCGUGAGGGAAAGAUGAAAAGAACUUUGAAAAGAGAGUUAAACAGUACGUGAAAUUGUCAAAAGGGAAGCGUUUGACACCAGUGUUGUUUUUCUGAAAAUCAAUUAAAGAACUGUUUAUGCUAAGCUGUUUAGACUUUAUCAGCUAAUCUGUUUAGUUUUGAGCUUUUCUUUAAUGCACUUUUCAGUUAACAAGUCAACAUCAAUUUCUUUUGCUGUAAAAAAGCUUGAGGAAGGUGGCUUGAGAUUCGUCUUAAGUGUUUAUAGCCUCUUGCCUAUGCAGUCGGAGAGAUUGAGGUCUGCAGGCGUAGAUCCUUCGGGGCUAAAUGCAUUUGUGCUAAGUUAUAGCAUUUUAUAGACAACUUGUUGACUAUGAUUUGUCUUGUAGCUUACUCGCUUAUGUUAUUUUACCUACGCUUAGGAUGUUGACGAGACUGUCGAUCUCAUCUAUACAUGACUCUGUGCAUAUCAAUAAGCGGAGGAAAAGGAUAUCAGGGCGAUACCUACGCUUAGGAUGUUGACGAGACUGUCGAUCUC
rnacentral:rRNA from 1 species